rnacentral:rRNA from 1 species
UUAACGAGAGUUUGAUCCUGGCUCAGGACGAACGCUGGCGGCGUGCCUAAUACAUGCAAGUCGAACGAACGGAUAAGGAGCUUGCUCCUUUGAAGUUAGUGGCGGACGGGUGAGUAACACGUGGGUAACCUGCCUCACAGCUGGGGAUAACAUCGAGAAAUCGAUGCUAAUACCGAAUGUGCUGAAUAUCAUAAGAUGUUCAAGUGAAAGACGGUUUCGGCUGUCACUGUGAGAUGGACCCGCGCUGGAUUAGCUAGUUGGUAAGGUAAUGGCUUACCAAGGCAACGAUCCAUAGCCGACCUGAGAGGGUGAUCGGCCACAUUGGGACUGAGACACGGCCCAAACUCCUACGGGAGGCAGCAGUAGGGAAUCUUCGGCAAUGGACGAAAGUCUGACCGAGCAACGCCGCGUGAGCGAAGAAGGCCUUCGGGUCGUAAAGCUCUG